rnacentral:lncRNA from 1 species
CCGUGUCUCUACCCGUGUGGACGAAAAUAGAUCAUUUUCCAAGCCACAUUUCUCACCCAAUUUGGUACCAACCUAAACACAACAAUUUGUAUAUAACCAAGUCAUAAAUAGGCAUCCAAAACCAGUCAAAAUCAAGCUUAAAACAUGUAAUAUCAUCACAUACAACCAAUAUGCCCUUGGCACUUCAAAUGACAACUUAUAAUAUGAAUAUUCAUGUAUUCAAUAUAUCCAAAUGUAUAACUCACUUAUAUGCAUAUUUGCAUCCAAAGUUUAUCGAGCAAAUUUACAUUAUUUCUUACCAAAUUACUUACCUUCCAAAACAUAUCAUUUAAUGCCAAAAUGUAUUUCAAAUACUAACAUAUUUAACUUAUAUGCCUUACAUAUCAAAACACCAAUUCAUGAUUAAUUCUUCACAUUCCAGAACACAUAUAUGAAAUGCACAUUAGGCUACCUUUUUACCACUCUUCAUUCAAGCAUAAACCAAACAACACAUCAACCAUAAUAAGCAAAAUAUGCACAUAUCCAAAAUUUCAUAACACAAAC